GAUCAGACUCUACACUCUGUUAAUCAUCUCUUGACUUCUUAUCUGUUAAGCUAAAAUUGUGAUUGUCUUCUGGUAUUUUGAUCUAGCAUGGGUGAUGUCAUGAGGUGGAGAUGUGUUCCAUUUAUUCCAUAUGGUCCACAAAAAUGGAUUGCCAUCACACACUGGUACCACCUACACUCUGCAGGCAGUUUUAUCACCACUUGUAGGCUGCUUUCUAGCCUUGGAUAGCUCAUCUUAGGGUUUGCUUAGUGUUGGAGGAAAGAAGGCCCCUCUCUACUGUCUUCUCUUCUUCAGCGAGAAUGUCAGUCAAAAUCCAAUCCCAGUUUAGUGGGCCCAAGAAGCUGUGUCUAGUUAGCAUCCUGUAGAUUAGAAGCCCAAAUUCUCAUCAGAUGGCUGCUCUUGGAUAUACAGUUUUCAGAUUCAGAAAUACCUUGUGGUCCUUAAUCAUCAGGGAAAUGCAAAUCAAAACAACCCUGAGAUUCCACCUCACAGCAGUCAGAAUGGCUAAGACCAAAAAUUCAGGUGACAACAGAUGUUGGUGAGGAUGUGGAGAAAGAUGAACACUCUUCCAUUGUUGGUAGGAUUGCAGGCUUGUACAACCACUCUGGAAAUCAGUCUGGUGGUUUCUCAGAAAACUGGACAUAGUACUACCGGAGGAUCCCACAAUACCUCUCCUGGGCGUAUAUCCAGAAGAUGUUCUAACUGGUAAUAAGAACACAUGCUCCACUAUGUUCAUAGCACCCUUAUUUAUAAUAGCCAGAAGCUGGAAAGAACCCAGAUGUCCCUCAUCAGAGGAAUGGAUACAGAAAAUGUGGUACAUUUACACAAUGGAGUACUACUCAGCUAUUAAAAACAAUGAAUUUAUGAAAUUUAUGAAAUCAAACGGAUAGAUCUGGAGGAUAUCGUCCUGAGUGAGGUAACCCAAUCACAAAAGAACUCACAUGAUAUGUACUCACUGAUAAGUGGAUAUUAGCCCAGAAACUUAGAAUACCCAAGAUAUAAGAUACAAUUUGCGAAACACAUGAAACUCAAGAAGAACGAAGACCAACAUGUGGACACUUUGCCCCUUCUUAGAAUUGGGAACAAAACACCUGUAGAAGGAGUUACAGAGACAAAGUUUGGAGCUGAGACGAAACGAUGGACCAUCCAGAGACUGCCCCACCCAGGGAUCCAUCCCAAAAUCAGCCACCAAACACAGACACUAUUGCAUACACCAGCAAGAUUUUGCUGAAAGGACCCUGAUAUAGCUAUCUCUUGUGAGGCUAUGCCAGUGCCUGGCAAACACAGAAGUGGAUGCUCACAAUCAUCUAUAGGAUGGAACACAGGGCCCCCAAUGGAGGAGCUAGAUAAAGUACCCAAGAGCUGAAGGGGUCUGCAACCCUAUAGGUGGAACAACAAUAUGAACUAACCAGUACCCCCAGAGCUGUCUCUAGCUGCAUAUGUAGCAGAAGAUGGCCUAGUCGGCCAUCACUGGGAAGAGUGGCCCCUUGGUCUUGCAAACUUUAUAUGCCACAUUACAGGGGAACACCAGGGCCAAGAAGUGGGAGUGGGUAGGUAGGGGAGCGGGGGGCUGGGGGAAGUGUAGAGGGGACUUUUGGGAUAGCAUUUGAAAUGUAAAUGAAGAAAAUACCUAAUAAAAAAUUG
rnacentral:lncRNA from 1 species